UACGAAGGGGGCUAGCGUUGCUCGGAAUCACUGGGCGUAAAGCGCACGUAGGCGGCUUACUAAGUCAGGGGUGAAAUCCUGGAGCUCAACUCCAGAACUGCCUUUGAUACUGGUGAGCUUGAGUCCGGAGGAGGUGAGUGGAACUGCGAGUGUAGAGGUGAAAUUCGUAGAUAUUCGCAAGAACACCAGUGGCGAAGGCGGCUCACUGGUCCGGUACUGACGCUGAGGUGCGAAAGCGUGGGGAG
rnacentral:rRNA from 1 species